UACCGCCAGCAGCAGUAGCGCCCAGCGACAGGCGCUCCGGGACGCAGGCGUCAUCCCUUGGGGUGUCCUCUCCACUCCGGGACUCCGAAUCUGCUUGUUAGGGAUGUCGCUCUCCCGCAAGUCCCGUCUGCCAGCCGAGUUCCUGAAAAGCUGAUUCCCCUCGGGACGCUGCUCCCUUGUCGCCUUCUCAAAAACUCCGCUGCUCGAUGCCUCGACUUUAGGUAGCUCCUGCCUCGCUGGCCUCCAGCCUAUGUGUGCCCACCCUCCACGCGUCCCCAGCACCGCAGGGAAGCCAUCCGACGCGUUAACCUUUCCCUGGCUAUUCCAAGCAAGGCAAAGGGCCAAGCGUCUAGGACUCUGGUCUUCUCUGCACCUGUGCCUAUCUCACCUGGGUCGCGCUUGGUCUCCAUAUCCUCAUCCUGGCCCCCACCCGCGUCCCCUAGCUCCGCUGGAGUAGGGAGGAAACUUUCUUAAUUCCAGAAUUUCCUUGGGCCACUUGAGAGGCAAGGCAACAUGAAGACAACCAGAGGCCACCUCGGGGGCGGGGCACAAAUGAAAUUCACGGGUAGAGGAAAAGACAGAGGACACACUCCUAAGGGAAGAGGCAAUAGGAGCAGAACGGAGGAGGGGAAAGAGCAGAGCGUGAAAAGUCAAGGUUUCGGGGCCUUUUUUGGUAGGAGGCCUGUGAUAAGGUUCUUGACUGAACAACCUGGCCUUCUAGAGAAAACCUUCCCACUGAGACAACUCUCCUGCGGGAGGGUUUCAGAGCAGCGGCCUGCAGAAAGGAAGAGAUGUCAUCCUUGAAUGGAUCUAAUCAGAGAGGGUGCUGGCCUCAGAGGGGGGGGGGGGGGGGGGGGGGCGCGCUCGGCUUUUCCUCAUACCUCUGAGAGACCCUACUUCCUGGGUUCACUGUCCACUGUCUGGUUGCUCAUGCCUGAUGACUCAACAUAUGCCAAAUAAAGGAUACCCAAGUGGGCAGGAUUACUGGG
ensembl:processed_transcript Gm14207 predicted gene 14207